AGGUCACAACCUCCUAUUGUUCCAAGCCACUGUCCCGUCUUAAAUGAACAAGUUCUGCUUAAUGCCGCAAGCCAAACAUUAAUCUUCAUGCUACGUCCUUCAGUGAAGUCCCCCUGAGCUUGCAGAUCUCUAGCUGCUAAAGGAUGUCUGACACCAGCAGCAGAAGAUGUAUUGAUCUGGUCAUAACAAAUUAAGGCUGCUGAAGAGCAGAUGUUAAAAACAGACUUCUUGGCAUGUAUCAGCCCCUGGUGGUAUCAGUUGCACACAUGUUCCAGUUUAUUUAUUAAAGCCAUUGCUCUCUUCA